UGUUUGUAAGAUCCAGGCCAUACUGGAAAAGUUAGAAAAAAAGGGAUUAUGAAAUAAUUCGGAAUGCAGCGGAAGCCUGUUAAUGAUUUGGCCAAAGAACUCUUUAAUUUGGUUAGUUCCCAUCUUUUGAAAUGCCUGUUGUGACAAGAAGCAACACAUUCCAACUUUCUUCUGAGCUAAAACUUGAAAGGAAAAAGAACUGGAAAAGCCAGCAGAGGAAUGGAAUUGCAGCAGUGACAAGAUUCUUUUCAGUUUUCAGAUGACUGCACAUAAUAGGAAACUGGAAUUAUCAGUAUUGCCAAGUAGACCUACUUCUUACGAAACCCACUGAUGUCUGGAGGCUGCUGCUUAUCAGGUCGCAGGAGGGAGAUAGACUUAUGUAACAGGUUGUCAAAAACCGGAUCUGAGACAAGCAGGCUGUUUUGUAAGCAUCUGGACUGUCACAUUUUUGUGCAUUGUGACUGCAUAUACUUCAUGUGUAUAUUAUAGCCUAGACUCUUGGACCUCUGUUCUGUUUUCUUACCAGCAGGUCACAGAUGUAAUACUAUUCUACUUCUUCGUACAUUUUGUAGUAAUAUGUUUAAUAUAAUCAAAUAUUGGCAGCCAGAUAGGUGAGCAGUUCUGAAUGAAUUCAUAUCCUUUUACCACUUGAAUAUAUUGCAGUGUGUAGUGGGCUCCUAAAGUCAUUUGUCCCCCUUCCUGUGUAGCAUGUUACGUUACGUUCUUCCCACUUCUGCUUUUCAUGAUGGGGAAGGUGACUCUGAAAAUUACAUUAACAUAAGAAUGACAAUGUUUGCCACAUUCUUUGCUUUGUUGUAUUUGGAUAAAGAUCUCUGAAAUUGCUUUUUUAAGAAAAAUAUCUUUUGGCUAUUACUGCUUCUAUAAAGAGCCUUAUGAUAAAAAAGUGGAAACUUAAAUGCCACAGUUAGUAUAAAUAGUGACUGCAAAAAAGUAACAAAUAUGAUUAUUUAAUAACACUGGUCUCCAUUCGGUAGGUCUGUGGGACAGAUCUGAGCUCAGUGUGUAGCUGAUAGAAGGAAAAGGAGGAGAUUCAUGCUCAGGGAAUGAGUCAGCCUUAGCUGAAGUGGAAAAUUAAUACUUUUAAUUUAAAUUUGGUCUUUAUUUUGUAGGAUAAAUUGCAUAGAAUUGCCUGUUUCAUAAGAAAGAUGUUUAUCAUUAAUAAUAGUCAAUUUAGAGCUGAGUUUAAGAAAAGGGGCCUUUUUUGGUUAUCUGUGUAUGUUAUACAGAGACAGGUAAAUAAUUUACCCUUUAAGCCUAAAGUGAGAUCUAGCAUACAGUAUCCACUUUCGCAACAAAGGCAGUUUCUUAG
rnacentral:lncRNA from 1 species